AAAACUUUCAACAACGGAUCUCUUGGUUCUGGCAUCGAUGAAGAACGCAGCGAAAUGCGAUAAGUAAUGUGAAUUGCAGAAUUCAGUGAAUCAUCGAAUCUUUGAACGCACAUUGCGCCCAUUAGUAUUCUAGUGGGCAUGCCUGUUCGAGCGUCAUUUCAACCCUUAAGCCCCUGUUGCUUAGCGUUGGGAGCCUACGGCAGCGUAGCUCCCCAAAGUUAGUGGCGUGGUCGGUUCACACUCCAGACGUAGUAGAUUUUCACCUCGCCUGUAGCUGGACCGGUCCCCUGCCGUAAAACACCCUAAUUUUUAAAGGUUGACCUCGGAUCAGGUAGGAAUACCCGCUGAACUUAAGCAUAUCAAUAAGCGGAGGAAAAGAAACCAACAGGGAUUGCCCCAGUAACGGCGAGUGAAGCGGCAACAGCUCAAAUUUGAAAUCUGGCCCUCGGGUCCGAGUUGUAAUUUGUAGAGGAUGCUUUUGGCGCGGUGCCUUCCGAGUUCCCUGGAACGGGACGCCUUAGAGGGUGAGAGCCCCGUACGGUUGGACACCAAGCCUCUGUAAAGCUCCUUCGACGAGUCGAGUAGUUUGGGAAUGCUGCUCUAAAUGGGAGGUAAAUUUCUUCUAAAGCUAAAUAUUGGCCAGAGACCGAUAGCGCACAAGUAGAGUGAUCGAAAGAUGAAAAGCACUUUGAAAAGAGGGUUAAAUAGCACGUGAAAUUGUUGAAAGGGAAGCGUUUGCGACCAGACCUUUUCCUAGCGGAUCAUCCGGUGUUCUCACCGGUGCACUUCGCUAGGUUUAGGCCAGCAUCGGUUUCUAUAGGGGGAUAAAAGCUCUGGGAACGUAGCUCCUCCGGGAGUGUUAUAGCCCUCUGCAUAAUACCCUUACAGGGACCGAGGACCGCGCUUUUAGCAAGGAUGCUGGCGUAAUGGUCGUCAACGACCCGUCUUGAAACACGGACCAAGGAGUCGAACAUUUGUGCGAGUGUUUGGGUGUUAAACCCUCACGCGUAAUGAAAGUGAACGGAGGUGAGAGCCCUUACGGGUGCAUCAUCGACCGAUCCUGAUGUCUUCGGAUGGAUUUGAGUAAGAGCAUAACUGUUCGGACCCGAAAGAUGGUGAACUAUGCGUGGAUAGGGUGAAGCCAGAGGAAACUCUGGUGGAGGCUCGCAGCGGUUCUGACGUGCAAAUCGAUCGUCAAAUCUGCGCAUGGG
rnacentral:rRNA from 1 species